rnacentral:rRNA from 1 species
AUGAACGCUAGCUACAGGCUUAACACAUGCAAGUCGAGGGGCAGCAUGGUCUUAGCUUGCUAAGGCCGAUGGCGACCGGCGCACGGGUGAGUAACACGUAUCCAACCUGCCGUCUACUCUUGGACAGCCUUCUGAAAGGAAGAUUAAUACAAGAUGGCAUCAUGAGUCCGCAUGUUCACAUGAUUAAAGGUAUUCCGGUAGACGAUGGGGAUGCGUUCCAUUAGAUAGUAGGCGGGGUAACGGCCCACCUAGUCUUCGAUGGAUAGGGGGUUCUGAGAGGAAGGUCCCCCACAUUGGAACUGAGACACGGUCCAAACUCCUACGGGAGGCAGCAGUGAGGAAUAUUGGUCAAUGGGCGAGAGCCUGAACCAGCCAAGUAGCGUGAAGGAUGACUGCCCUAUGGGUUGUAAACUUCUUUUAUAAAGGAAUAAAGUCGGGUAUGGAUACCCGUUUGCAUGUACUUUAUGAAUAAGGAUCGGCUAACUCCGUG